AUUGAACGCUGGCGGCAGGCCUAACACAUGCAAGUCGAGCGAGCGGCGGACGGGUGAGUAAUGUAUGGGGACUGCCCGAUAUAGGGGGAUAACUACUGGAAACGGUAGCUACUACCGCAUACUAUCGGAUAACCCAUAUGGGAUUAGCUAGUAGUUGAGGUAAUGGCUCACCUAGGCGACGAUCCCUAGCUGGGCUGAGAGGAUGAUCAGCCAAACUGGGACUGAGACAGGGCCCAGACUCCGACGGAGGCAGCAGUGGGGAAUAUUGCACAAUGGGCGCAAGCCGGAUGAAGCCAUGCCGCGUGUAUGAAGAAGGCCCUAGGGUUGUAAAGUACGUUCAGUCGGGAGGCGUUACCGACAGAAGAAGCACCGGCUAACUCCGUGCCAGCCGCCGCGGUAAUUC
rnacentral:rRNA from 1 species